AAAGUCAAGCCCACUGUGGAAAGAAAGAACUACCUACAGCAACUGGAAACCCCAAAGAAGACUGGAUAUGAACAAAAUCAACCAAUAUUAUCAGAAGUUCACCUUGCCCCAAUAUCUCAAGACUAUUCAUCAUUAUCAGACAACAAUGAAGCCAUGGAAUCACGUUGAGAUAAAUGCUUAUCAAAUUAUCC